AUUGAACGCUGGCGGCAUGCCUAACACAUGCAAGUCGAACGGCAGCACAGUAAAGACUUCGGUCUUUAUGGGUGGCGAGUGGCGGACGGGUGAGUAACGCGUAGGAAUCUGUCCUGGAGAGUGGGAUAACCCGAGGAAACUCGGGCUAAUACCGCAUGAUAUCGAGAGAUCAAAUGCAGGGGACCCUUCGGGGCCUUGCGCUCUCGGUUGAGCCUACGUCGGAUUAGCGAGUUGGUGGGGUAAAGGCCUACCAAGGCGACGAUCCGUAGCUGGUCUGAGAGGAUGACCAGCCACACUGGGACUGAGACACGGCCCAGACUCCUACGGGAGGCAGCAGUGGGGAAUCUUGGACAAUGGGGGAAACCCUGAUCCAGCGAUGCCGCGUGUGUGAAGAAGGCCUUCGGGUUGUAAAGCACUUUAGGUGGGGAAGAAAGGUAAUGAGUGAAUAACUGAUUGCUUUGACGGUACCCGCAGAAUAAGCACCGGCUAACUCUGUGCCAGCCGCCGCGGUAA
rnacentral:rRNA from 1 species